rnacentral:snoRNA from 1 species
UCCCUAUUAGGAUCACCCCUGGGGAGUUUCCAGUACUCUACCAGUCCUGACUAUGGGAGGUAGAGUCAAGCAGAGGCGUACCCAUUCCAUUCCUAGCUUGGGCAGUGGGUAGUCAGUGAAAGACAAUCUGCUACAAGU